AUGAAGAUGAUGAUGAAGGUCAUGUUGAUGAAGAUUGUUGUGUGUUUUCUAUCACUGUGGUGGACUUUCGGCAGCGGCACCAAACUGGAUGUUGGCAGCGCCACUCGUCCUAAAGUGAGCGUCCUGCCGCCCUCCAGUGCAGAGAUCUCCUCAAAGAAGACAGCGACACUGGUGUGUGUGGCCAGCAAGGGCUUCCCGUCAGACUGGAGCCUGAGCUGGAAGGUGGACGGGAGCAGCAGGUCUCAGGAGAGCAGCGCUGGGCUCCUGGAGAAGGACGGUCUGUACAGCUGGAGCAGCAGCCUGACUCUCUCUGAGCAGGAGUGGAUGGAGAGCGUCUCAGUGAGCUGUGAGGCCACACGGAGCGGCCAGCCUGCGCUCACUGGACACGUGACGAGACAGCAGUGUUCAGAGUUUCUAUCACUGUGGUGGACUUUCGGCAGCGGCACCAAACUGGAUGUUGGCAGCGCCACUCGUCCUAAAGUGAGCGUCCUGCCGCCCUCCAGUGCAGAGAUCUCCUCAAAGAAGACAGCGACACUGGUGUGUGUGGCCAGCAAGGGCUUCCCGUCAGACUGGAGCCUGAGCUGGAAGGUGGACGGGAGCAGCAGGUCUCAGGAGAGCAGCGCUGGGCUCCUGGAGAAGGACGGUCUGUACAGCUGGAGCAGCAGCCUGACUCUCUCUGAGCAGGAGUGGAUGGAGAGCGUCUCAGUGAGCUGUGAGGCCACACGGAGCGGCCAGCCUGCGCUCACUGGACACGUGACGAGACAGCAGUGUUCAGAGUAGAUCUGCUGCUCUUCUCACUCAUGUCUCACAUGGAGACUAACAGCACAUGAGCGACUCCUUCAUUCUCCACAUCCAGCUUCAGUCGCUCGCAUCUGCAUCUGCUCUGCUUUGUGUGCUUCAUACAAGACUAUAUGUGUGAUUUAUUA